UACAGAGGUCUCAAGCGUUGUUCGGAUUCAUUGGGCGUAAAGGGUGCGUAGGUGGCGCGGUAAGUCGGGUGUGAAAUUUCGGAGCUUAACUCCGAAACUGCAUUCGAUACUGCCGUGCUUGAGGACUGGAGAGGAGACUGGAAUUUACGGUGUAGCGGUGAAAUGUGUAGAGAUCGGGAGGAACACCGGUGGCGAAGGCGGGUCUCUGGGCAAUCCCUGACGCUGAGGCGCGAAAGCGUGGGGAGCAAACGGG
rnacentral:rRNA from 1 species